CCUACGGGAGGCAGCAGUGAGGAAUAUUGGUCAAUGGGCGCUAGCCUGAACCAGCCAAGUAGCGUGAAGGAUGACUGCCCUAUGGGUUGUAAACUUCUUUUGUAUGGGAGUAAAGUGCAGUAUGUAUACUGCUUUGCAUGUACCUUAUGCGUAAGAGUCGGCAAACUCCUUGCCAGCAGCCGCGGUAAUACGGGGGAUCCGGGCGUUAACCGGAUUGUUGGGGGUAAAGGGGGGCGUAGGCGGGUUGUUAGGUCAGUGGUAAAAGCCCGGGGCUCAACCCGGGCGAGCCGUUGAAACUGGCUGUCUUGAGAUGACGAGAGGUAUGCGGAAUGCGUAGUGUAGCGGUGAAAUGCGUAGAUAUUGCGCAGAACUCCGAUUGCGAAGGCAGCAUACCGGCGGCGAUCUGACGCUGAGGCACGAAAGCGUGGGUAUCGAACAGGAUUAGAUACCCUUGUAGUC
rnacentral:rRNA from 1 species